rnacentral:rRNA from 1 species
AAAGCGAGUCUGAAUAGGGCGUUUAGUAUUUGGUCGUAGACCCGAAACCAGGUGAUCUACCCUUGGUCAGGUUGAAGUUCAGGUAACACUGAAUGGAGGACCGAACCGACUUACGUUGAAAAGUGAGCGGAUGAACUGAGGGUAGCGGAGAAAUUCCAAUCGAACCUGGAGAUAGCUGGUUCUCUCCGAAAUAGCUUUAGGGCUAGCCUCAAGUGAUGAUUAUUGGAGGUAGAGCACUGUUUGGACGAGGGGCCCCUCUCGGGUUACCGAAUUCAGACAAACUCCGAAUGCCAAUUAAUUUAACUUGGGAGUCAGAACAUGGGUGAUAAGGUCCGUGUUCGAAAGGGAAACAGCCCAGACCACCAGCUAAGGUCCCAAAAUAUAUGUUAAGUGGAAAAGGAUGUGGCGUUGCCCAGACAACUAGGAUGUUGGCUUAGAAGCAGCCAUCAUUUAAAGAGUGCGUAAUAGCUCACUAGUCGAGUGACACUGCGCCGAAAAUGUACCGGGGCUAAACAUAUUACCGAAGCUGUGGAUUGUCCUUUGGACAAUGGUAGGAGAGCGUUCUAAGGGCGUUGAAGCAUGAUCGUAAGGACAUGUGGAGCGCUUAGAAGUGAGAAUGCCGGUGUGAGUAGCGAAAGACGGGUGAGAAUCCCGUCCACCGAUUGACUAAGGUUUCCAGAGGAAGGCUCGUCCGCUCUGGGUUAGUCGGGUCCUAAGCUGAGGCCGACAGGCGUAGGCGAUGGAUAACAGGUUGAUAUUCCUGUACCACCUAUAAUCGUUUUAAUCGAUGGGGGGACGCAGUAGGAUAGGCGAAGCGUGCGAUUGGAUUGCACGUCUAAGCAGUAAGGCUGAGUAUUAGGCAAAUCCGGUACUCAUUAAGGCUGAGCUGUGAUGGGGAGAAGACAUUGUGUCUUCGAGUCGUUGAUUUCACACUGCCGAGAAAAGCCUCUAGAUAGAAAAUAGGUGCCCGUACCGCAAACCGACACAGGUAGUCAAGAUGAGAAUUCUAAGGUGAGCGAGCGAACUCUCGUUAAGGAACUCGGCAAAAUGACCCCGUAACUUCGGGAGAAGGGGUGCUCUUUAGGGUUAACGCCCAGAAGAGCCGCAGUGAAUAGGCCCAAGCGACUGUUUAUCAAAAACACAGGUCUCUGCUAAACCGUAAGGUGAUGUAUAGGGGCUGACGCCUGCCCGGUGCUGGAAGGUUAAGAGGAGUGGUUAGCUUCUGCGAAGCUACGAAUCGAAGCCCCAGUAAACGGCGGCCGUAACUAUAACGGUCCUAAGGUAGCGAAAUUCCUUGUCGGGUAAGUUCCGACCCGCACGAAAGGCGUAACGAUUUGGGCACUGUCUCAACGAGAGACUCGGUGAAAUCAUAGUACCUGUGAAGAUGCAGGUUACCCGCGACAGGACGGAAAGACCCCGUGGAGCUUUACUGUAGCCUGAUAUUGAAAUUCGGCACAGCUUGUACAGGAUAGGUAGGAGCCUUUGAAACGUGAGCGCUAGCUUACGUGGAGGCGCUGGUGGG